rnacentral:lncRNA from 1 species
ACACCCAAAGAUCCUUCUUUUAUAGAUACCUUUAGUCAACAUGUAUUUUUUAGAAAACAGUAAACCAGAUACAGUCACUGAAUUUCAAUUUUAAGUAUCUUUUCUAUUUCCUUUACAUUUGUAGCCAUUAAACAUUGUGGAUUUUAAGAAGCCCUUGCUAAUAUAUUUCCAGAAUUAGAUAAUAUGUCCUCUAACUCAUGUUUUUGUUUGUUUUCCUACUUUAAAAUUCCCUGUGGUUAGUGUACACAGAAGUUAAUUAUAAUGUAUCUCCCAGGUUCUUGUGUUCUUUGUAAGGUGAGUUGGCAGUGAUUAGUAAUCUAUUCUAUAAUCCCGAGAGUGUUUUAAGUUAUUCAAGGUGAAUACUUUGUUUUCAAAGUUACAUAACUCAAAUUCACAUUGACUAUAAAUUUACAAUGGGUUUAUUCCCAAUAAUUUUGAUAUAUUACUUUCAAGUUUUAUUUUAGUCUGAUACCUAUACAUUCCUGUUAAGAAUUUGUUUUAAAAUAGCCAAAAGGAAGUCUUGGCCUGUACUUGGAAGGUGGUUUUUCUUGUCAUGUGUCAAAUUCAUUAACAUUAGUGAUUACGUAUCUUAUUUUGCAGAGUUGACACUUAGUAUAAUUUCACAUUUCAUUGUGUGUCAGUAUUUAAAUUAUAGCUAAAUACUAUAGUUUAAAUCUGUGCAGAGCCUUCUUAAAGAGCUCCUCCCUUAGGAAUUGUUUAAAAGAAGUGAAGAACAGUGCUUUAAAUGACUGAGAUGAGUCUGAGAGGUUUCCUCAAGUCUAGGCAAUGGAGAUAAACGAUAGCCCAUUUCUAUGCUGCAUACAGUUGUUAGGGUUUGAUAAUAUGUAGAAAGUGCAAAAGCAGAAAAGACUGUGUAAGUGGCCUAUAAAUUUAUAGUUUUCAUUAUUGCACUAUUUAUCUUUGCACUUGAGUUUUUGGAAAUUAAAGACUAGCACUUUCACUUUUGUUUCUAGUCUUUUCUAAUUUCUUGCAAAAUUGUUUUCAAUAUCCCACCCAAAGUUAAACUCAUAUGCAAUUACAUAUGCUUUAUAAGGCCAAGAAAAUAUUUAUUAAUGUUAUCUAUAUAACAGUAAAUUUUGUUUUGAUAAAAAUUUUAAUAUAGAUCUUUAUUUGCCCAUAAAAUUCUUUAUAAAUAUGAGCUUUAUUAAGCUGUUAAAGUAAAAGCUUAGGAUAGGAAGUAAUGUCUUCUGUAUAUAAAAUUGUGUCUUUGAAAUCCAUUUUCCAGCCUAGUAUGGCCUGGCUUUUGAGUGUUAGUAUGUUUUCAUUAGCAAGUGAUAUCUGAGUCUUACUGGGCAAGUGCUUAAGAAACUGGAAGUGAAUAAAUAGGUGGCAGUUCCCUCUUCUGUGUAGCUUUCUAUAAGGUUCAUAUAACUUCUCUGUGGUUUAUGUCAUAUGCUGGUAUUUCAUGAAAUGAGUGUUUCUUUUGAAAAUUUAAGAUUGAUGCUUUUUGAGGAUGGUUAUAGCAAAGGAUAUAGGACUUUCAUUUAACCAUUGGCGGUUUUAUAGCCUCCUUGAUACGCUCUACUCAGAGAACAAAGAGUGUACUUGUGAAUAUGUGAUGCUGUAUUCACAAUUGCAAAAAGAAAAAAGGAAAGGAAAGGAAAGGAAACAAAUUGAGUUUUCUCAAUGGGACAGAGCGAUGUAUUUUUGGCGAGAAUUGUUUUAUAAGUUAUUUAAUGAUCUUAUUCUCUAUCUUUUCCUGUAGUUUUUUACACACCUCAUACUUAAAACCAGCAAGUCAGAGGCCUCUUUUCAGAUUAUUUUGGAAGGUCUGAAUGUGUUCUGGAUGGAGUGUUGAUUGUGACAUAUU